rnacentral:rRNA from 1 species
GAUGAACGCUGGCGGCGUGCCUAAUACAUGCAAGUCGAGCGAACGGACGAGAAGCUUGCUUUUCUGAUGUUAGCGGCGGACGGGUGAGUAACACGUGGAUAACCUACCUAUAAGACUGGGAUAACUUCGGGAAACCGGAGCUAAUACCGGAUAAUAUUUUGAACCGCAUGGUUCAAAAGUGAAAGACGGUCUUGCUGUCACUUAUAUAUGGAUCCGCGCUGCAUUAGCUAGUUGGUAAGGUAACGGCUUACCAAGGCAACGAUGCAUAGCCGACCUGAGAGGGUGAUCGGCAACACUGGAACUGAGACACGGUCCAGACUCCUACGGGAGGCAGCAGUAGGGAAUCUUCCGCAAUGGGCGAAAGCCUGACGGAGCAACGCCGCGUGAGUGAUGAAGGUCUUCGGAUCGUAAAACUCUGCUAUUAGGGAAGAACAUAUGUGUAAGUAACUGUGCACAUCUUGACGGUACCUAAUCAGAAAGCCACGGCUAACUACGUG